AGAUAAGGAGUGUAUAUAGCUUUUGAGUUUUUCUGUUUUUAGAUUUACAGGCCUUAGUUCUUCAGGCGAGAGUUUUCAUGACUGACUUGCUUCUAUUUUAUGUUGGGUUUUCUUGUCUUCUAGUUUUGUUGGUUUUGAGAUUCGAUGAUGCAUAUUAUAAAGAGAAGGUGUGGUGGUUGUUCCUGGGGAUCUAGCAACAUGGUUAACCCGAAAAGUGUGAGUCGGACGCCAAAGAACAUCAUCGCUGCUAAUCCUCCGCUCUUAUUGGUUUUGUGUGGCUGUUUCUAUUAAGAGUCUUUGAAAUUUCUUCUUUAGUUUGACUAUUUGGAGGUUCUUGGGACACAAAUGGAAGAGAAGCUCCCUCCGAGCAUGGACGAGUGCAAAUCUGAAGUUGCAUGGUUGCCAGUUUACUUCGAAGAGACUUCUCUGAUACUACUUUAUAUAUUGAAAGUGUCCCGACGCCUAAAGAGUUGACCUAGUAGUAUAGCGCUGAGGUGUACGCGGUUGGUCACCGGGUUAUGGAGGAGCUCUCUGAAUCGAAUUCCCCAAGCUACCCUAGGGUUUUGUGAAGUGAGAUCUGGCCUCUCUUGUCUACUGGGCUUGUUAUGGGCUUUGGGUAUUUGAGGUAAUCUGCUGGUUUGAAGUACUGUAAUUGGCCCAUCACCUUGUACCCAAUCUUUUUUAACCAAUGCAAUCUGGAUCUAUCUCUCGGAAAAAAAAAAAAAAGUACGGUUUAGGAACUCAUUUCACCAAACCGACCCUUGUCAGUUACGCAGGUGAGAGGCCGCGGCUACUUCUUCUUCCGGUCCCUCAAAAAUACUUUGCGGCUUUCCUUUCUAUCUCACGGUAUCUGAAUUACAUGUCAACCAUGGCUAGCUUAAGCUUAAGUGCUUAACAACGAGCUUAACAGCUCCAAUAUUUGCUAUUCCCAAUCAGAUGAAUUAAGGGUCAUUCUUCUUUUUUCCUGUGAUAUGGCAGCUCUAACAAAAGAGGAAGGAAAUGACGAAGGUACGGCUGAGUUGAUAGCAUAUGAAAUUGGAUCUUUAUACGAUGAGCUUAAAGAGUUCGAGGAGAAGCUUAAGGUACUACUGUUACCUAGAGAUCCUCUUGACGCAAGAAAUGUAAUGCUUGAAGUCAAGGUAAUUUUAACUUGUUCAUCAUCUCCUGGAAAUGAUACGGCGAGAUCAAGUUGUGCCAGAAUUUUUAAAUCUUGAUGGGGAAGGUAGCCAUUUUCUACGAAAAAUGUUUGAGAGAUUUAUAUACUUUUGGAACUUCUUGUCUUGGAAAUUAUAUUGACCCAUACAUUAAGAUCUUUUGGCAUAGGUGUGAACUGUAGUUCCUUUUGGCUGAAGAUGCUUGAUGUUAAUCUGGUCAUGGCGUGACUGAGUUUGAUAAAUCUGAUAUUAGUGCUUAGUAUCUCAGUUGUCUUUUACAAUUGUUUGAUUGGUUCAUGACAGUUCUUAUGCUUUACUUUGGAUUUAGGCGGAUGAAGUUGAAGUGGUAAUUGAUCUAAAGAAUAUUCAACUUACAACAGGAAGGUCUGAAGGUGCUGGAGUUAUGAAACAGCUGGUGCUAGCUCAUAUUUGAAUGAAGUGAAUCAGUUCUCGUCUCUUUCACCCCACCUUCCUUGUGCACUCCCAAGAGAAGUGACUAAAAGGGGCAUCUUUUUACACAUAUUUUGUGCAUGACCUCCUGCUGGGCAAAAUGUCAACGAGGUGGAAACAGCUGUUGAUCUUUUCCACAAACCAACAGGAAUUCGCAUCUUUUAUUCUGAAUAAAGGAUACAACUUCUGCAAGCAAAACUCAGGUGUGAGAUGAAAGUAAGUGAGCAGCAUUAGUCAAUAAGGAACCAAUGAAAAUUACAGGCAUGUGCUGCUAUGAACUCCAGGAAGAACUCGCCGAGUCUAUAGGUGCUUCUUCCAGCUGGCCCAUUUGCAAAAUCUUCCCUGAUUGCGUAUACCCUCAAGAAGUUGAAAUAGGAGAAAACCCCUUCUAGGAAGUGCUACUGAGCAAUGUGGGGAAACAACAAUUGCUGCCGCCUAUGAUAUUUUCACGCAUAGGAUUUUCUAAUAUCAACUUUUUAAAGACGGAUAUUUUACAAAGCAAAUUUAUUUGUAUCAGAGGAUGCAAACGUGCGAUACAUUUGGUCUGUUGCUGACUGUAUGAUUUCAUUUGAAUGAAAUCAAAGAUGUUGCAAAUUAUCCUUUCCAUUCCAUUAAUGCCAUUCCUCCACCCUGAAUUUUUAAUA